AACGAACGCUGGCGGCAGGCUUAACACAUGCCAGUCGAACGCCCCGCCAGGGGAGUGGCCGACGGGUGAGUAACGCGUGGGAACAUACCCUUUCCUGCGGAAUAGCUCCGGGAAACUGGAAUUAAUACCGCAUACGCCCUACGGGGGAAAGAUUUAUCGGGGAAGGAUUGGCCCGCGUUGGAUUAGCUAGUUGGUGGGGUAAAGGCCUACCAAGGCGACGAUCCAUAGCUGGUCUGAGAGGAUGAUCAGCCACAUUGGGACUGAGACACGGCCCAAACUCCUACGGGAGGCAGCAGUGGGGAAUAUUGGACAAUGGGCGCAAGCCUGAUCCAGCCAUGCCGCGUGAGUGAUGAAGGCCUUAGGGUUGUAAAGCUCUUUCACCGAUGAAGAUAAUGACGGUAGUCGGAGAAGAAGCCCCGGCUAACUUCGUG
rnacentral:rRNA from 1 species